GACGAACGCUGGCGGCGUGCCUAACACAUGCAAGUCGAGCGAGAGACUUCGGUCCCUAGCGGCGGACGGGUGAGUAACACGUGGGUAACCUGCCUCAUAGUGGGGGAUAGCCUUCCGAAAGGAAGAUUAAUACCGCAUAUACUCUCGAUACCACAUGGUAUUUAGAGGAAAGGAGCAAUCCGCUAUGAGAUGGACCCGCGGCGCAUUAGCUAGUUGGUGAGGUAACGGCUCACCAAGGCGACGAUGCGUAGCCGACCUGAGAGGGUGAUCGGCCACAUUGGAACUGAGACACGGUCCAGACUCCUACGGGAGGCAGCAGUGGGGAAUAUUGCACAAUGGGCGAAAGCCUGAUGCAGCAACGCCGCGUGAGUGAUGACGGCCUUCGGGUUGUAAAGCUCUGUCUUUUGGGACGAUAAUGACGGUACCAAAGGAGGAAGCCACGGCUAACUACGUGCCAGCAGCCGCCGUAAAAC
rnacentral:rRNA from 1 species